UGAUGCAGCGAACGCGCGUGCGGGAAUAAGGCUUUCGGGUUGUAAACCGCUGUCAGGAGGGAAGAAAUCGCUCCGGUAAAUAGCCGGAGUGGAUGACGGUACCUGCAGAGGAAGCCCCGGCUAACUGCGUGCCAGCAGCCGCGGUAAGACGGAGGGGGCAAGCGUUGUUCGGAAUCAUUGGGCGUAAAGCGCGCGUAGGCGGUCUGGUCAGUCGGGCGUGAAAGCCCAGGGCUCAACCCUGGAAGGGCGUUCGAUACUGCUAGACUUGAGUACGGGAGAGGAGAGCGGAAUUCCCAGUGUAGCGGUGAAAUGCGUAGAUAUUGGGAGGAACACCAGUGGCGAAGGCGGCUCUCUGGACCGUUACUGACGCUGAGGUGCGAAAGCUAGGGGAGCAAACGGGAUUAGAUACCCCGGUAGUCCUAGCCGUAAACGAUGGGCACUAGGUGUUGGAGGUAUUCACCCCUCCAGUGCCGCAGCUAACGCAUUAAGUGCCCGCCUGG
rnacentral:rRNA from 2 species